rnacentral:rRNA from 1 species
UACGGAGGAUGCGAGCGUUAUCCGGAUUUAUUGGGUUUAAAGGGUGCGUAGGCGGGAUGCCAAGUCAGCGGUAAAAAUGCGGUGCUCAACGCCGUCGAGCCGUUGAAACUGGCGUUCUUGAGUGGGCGAGAAGUAUGAGGAAUGCGUGGUGUAGCGGUGAAAUGCAUAGAUAUCACGCAGAACUCCGAUUGCGAAGGCAGCAUACCGGCGCCCUACUGACGCUGAGGCACGAAAGCGUGGGUAUCGAACAGG